GUUUGAGAAUUGUUGGUUCUCGGAUCUGGUCGGUGUUUUGGGAGUUGUUCUUUCCAUUUUGGGUUUGCUUUGGGGUUGCUGUAGUUUAGGCUUUAGUUCUUCCGAUUAUGAGGUUGCUUCGUUUCUUCCUUUUCCUGAUUUCUAAUUUUGUGGUUUAUGUGUUUGAUUUGUGCGAGUAGAGUUAUUUAGAGUAGGAGUUUUUCAUUUUACAAUUCUUUUUUGUAUUGUAUUUAUGUUGCAUGUGUCGUUUCCUCAUUUCAUGAAGGCUCUGGGUAUUUUCGAUUUUGCAAUAAGAGCAGGUAUUUUUGAUUUGCCAUUUGUUUUUUGUAUUUUCGUGUUGCAUGUGUCCUGUGUCCUUUGAUAAUCCCCCUUUUAACUGCAGUUCUUAUUUUCAUUUCGUGUUUCAAUUAUUUUGGUGUAGGAAACAACUUCAACCAUAAUUCCUAGAUCAUGGAGUAUUAACCCUGCUAAAAAAUUGGCUUGAACCCCUUCCAGAUGGAAGCUUACCAAAUAUAAACAUCCGUGCAGCAAUAUUGAAGAUCUUAACUGAUUUUCUAAUUGAUCUAGAGCAUUUCGAGAGAAGAGAACAACUGAAGAAGAGUGGUCUUGGGAAGGUUAGGGUUCAGGUUAUGUGGCAGUGGUUGCACAUCAGUCAUGCUUCUGGCUUGUCUGUUAACUAUGAACAAAAAACUUGCGAAAGAUUGGGUUGAUAAAUGGGUAAUUGAUUUUUUACUCUCUCUUCACUUGGGCAUCCAUUUAUCAGUCAAUCUUCACAUUCCUCUUUGUAGGUUGAAAAGUUUGCAGUAUUGUAUGCCAGAGUACAUGGUAGGAAGGUGACAAAAUGGCCGGUAAAAAUUUGUUUCCACAUUGAUGCUCACAUGAAGACAUGUUCUCCAAGUUUUUUACCAAAGCUUGUCUUCCGAACUGAAGAAAAGAACGAAAAGAAACUGUUAUGUAAUGAUGUUGAUCUAAGUUUUUCUUUGAAAGCCAAAACCAUUCCUGUUAGAUAAUAUACAAUACCGAUCCUCACCUGAUGUUUGGUCAUUCAGUGAAUAAACUUCAGAGUUGACUACUAAAAGGUAUUUUCUUUACCCAUUUGAUGUUUGACUGAGCAAUGUUGAUAUGGUUGUAUCUAUUUUACACUACUCUUACAUGUAGAAUUUCUUGGUUAUUUUCUGUAGGCCUGCAAAUAAAGCUUCAGGAAUGGAGUCUAGAGAUGAUGAUCUUGAUUUGGCUGAGUUUUCACAGGAAAGGAAGUCUAGGCAGUCGUCUGGACUUCCAGACAACAAGCCUCUAGGCCUGAAGCCAUGCCAUUGGAUUUCUUAGUUCGCCCUCAAUCUAAAAUAGAUCCUGAUAAAAUUAGGGCCCGUGCUAAAACGGGUUAUUCAUGAUCAUCGCAAUCUGAAGACACAGUACCUAAAUGUCCAAGGUAUAGCAAAGGUCACCGAUUUCGCGCAAAACUGUUACUACUUGGCUUGCUCAAUCUGCAAGAGAGCAACAAAUGCAUACAGAAAUGGAGACUUUUGGUGCAACUACUAUGCCAAAAAAGUACCAGCCCUGACAAAGAUCAAAUUCAUUAUCUAGAUCACAAAUGCAAUUGGAAGCAUCGAUGCAGCAGGCUUUUCAGAAGUUGCAGCAGAGGCCUACAACAUUACACCAGCAGAUGCAAUAGAUGAAAAACUUGCUCUCCCGGUGCUUCAUAAACUAGGCAAACCAAGGAAAAGCAUCAUGACAUUGAAGGCUUACAUACACAACUAUGCAGGGCGCAUCCAAAUAAAAUUCAACGCGCACUCCAUAUCUAUCGAAAACCUCCCAGAACCAACAAACCGUUCAGAAGAACUUCUUGCUUUGCCUCCAAACACUUCAAAUAAAAAAAGCAAAAAAGGGGAGCACGAAUCAAGCAGCUCAACCUCCGCCCCAGCAAUCAACACCCCAGCAUACACCAGCCCAACAAAAUACAUCCCAACAACAGAAGAAACUUCCAACAGCCCCAGUAGGAACAAAUAAUCAGCAUCCAUAAGCUGCAGAACUUUAAAAGCUUUUGGCAUGAAAAAGUUCCCAUCAAAAGACUUUUGCUUGAUCUAACUUGCACGAACUCUGCCUUUUGUAGUUGUAUAAAAAAACUCGUAGCCACAGUCAUGCAAUUAGCAACCAAAGACAGCAACAUAUCAUGACUGGUCUAUGUAACUUUUGCUAUGAUCAAAUAAAUGGUCAAAGUAAUGCAUA